AGAGUUUGAUCCUGGCUCAGGACGAACGCUGGCGGCGUGCUUUAUACAUGCAAGUCGAACGAUGAAGUUCCUUCGGGAAUGGAUUAGUGGCGAACGGGUGAGGAACACGUGAGAAACCUGCCUUUCAUUCUGGGAUAACACCGGGAAACCGGUGCUAAUACCGGAUACUCCGUCUUGGCGGCAUCGCCGAGCCGGGAAAAAAUUUUGGUGAAAGAUGGUCUCGCGGCCUAUCAGCUAGUUGGUGAGGUAAUGGCUCACCAAGGCGACGACGGGUAGCCGGCCUGAGAGGGCGACCGGCCACACUGGGACUGAGACACGGCCCAGACUCCUACGGGAGGCAGCAGUAGGGAAUAUUGGGCAAUGGGCGCAAGCCUGACCCAGCGACGCCGCGUGAGGGAUGAAGGUCUUCGGAUUGUAAACCUCUUUCAGUAGGGAAGAAGCGAAAGUGACGGUACCUAAAGAAGAAGCACCGGCUAACUAUGUGCCAGCAGCCGCGGUAAUACAUAGGGUGCAAGCGUUGUCCGGAAUUAUUGGGCGUAAAGAGCUCGUAGGUCGUUUGUCGCGUCGAUUGUGAAAAUCUGAGGCUCAACCUCAGACCUGCAGUCGAUACGGGCAAACUAGAGUGUGGUAGGGGAGACUGGAAUUCCUGGUGUAGCGGUGGAAUGCGCAGAUAUCAGGAGGAACACCAAUGGCGAAGGCAGGUCUCUGGGCCAUAACUGACACUGAGGAGCGAAAGUGCGGGGAGCGAACAGGAUUAGAUACCCUGGUAGUCCGCACCGUAAACGGUGGGCACUAGUUGUGGGAACCUUCCACGGUUUCCGCGACGCAGCAAACGCAUUAAGUGCCCCGCCUGGGGAGUACGAUCGCAAGAUUAAAACUCAAAGGAAUUGACGG
rnacentral:rRNA from 1 species